ACGAACGCUGGCGGCACGCUUAAUACAUGCAAGUCGAACGUGAACCUCGGGGCUUGCCCUGGGGGGAAAGUGGCGAACGGGUGAGUAACACGUGAGAAACCUGCCCCGAAGACUGGGAUAACACCGGGAAACCGGUGCUAAUACCGGAUACCUUCAUCGGACCGCAUGAUCUGGUGAAGAAAUGGAUUCUGCUUCGGGAUGGUCUCGCGGCCUAUCAGCUUGUUGGUGGGGUAACGGCCUACCAAGGCUUCGACGGGUAGCUGGUCUGAGAGGAUGUCCAGCCACACUGGGACUGAGACACGGCCCAGACUCCUACGGGAGGCAGCAGUAGGGAAUCUUGCGCAAUGGGCGAAAGCCUGACGCAGCGAUGCCGCGUGCGGGAUGAAGGCCUUCGGGUUGUAAACCGCUUUCAGCAGGGACGAAAUUGACGGUACCUGCAGAAGAAGCCCCGGCCAACUACGU
rnacentral:rRNA from 1 species